rnacentral:ribozyme from 12 species
GGGAGGUGUAGGAUGACGCUCUCGAGGGACGGGAAACCUCUCUCUUUUUUAUGUUUUGUGUUACAACCCCCCCCCCUUUUUUUUUUUAAUUUACAGAAAAAAAAAAGAAAAGACAAACGA